GAUGAAGAACGUAGCGAAAUGCGAUAAGUAAUGUGAAUUGCAGAAUUCAGUGAAUCAUCGAGUCUUUGAACGCACAUUGCGCCCCCUGGUAUUCCGGGGGGCAUGCCUGUCCGAGCGUCAUUGCUGCCCUCAAGCACGGCUUGUGUGUUGGGCCCCCGUCCCCGGUUUCCCCCGGGGACGGGCCCGAAAGGCAGCGGCGGCACCGCGUCCGGUCCUCGAGCGUAUGGGGCUUUGUCACCCGCUCUGUAGGCCCGGCCGGCGCCAGCCGUCACCCAACUUUAUUUCUAAGGUUGACCUCGGAUCAGGUAGGGAUACCCGCUGAACUUAAGCAUAUCAAUAAGCGGAGGA
rnacentral:misc_RNA from 1 species